rnacentral:rRNA from 1 species
GAUGAACGCUGGCGGCGUGCCUAACACAUGCAAGUCGAGCGAUUCUCUUCGGAGAAGAGCGGCGGACGGGUGAGUAACGCGUGGGUAACCUGCCCUGUACACACGGAUGACAUACCGAAAGGUAUGCUAAUACGAGAUAAUAUACUUUUAUCGCAUGGUAGAAGUAUCAAAGUUUUUGCGGUACAGGAUGGACCCGCGUCUGAUUAGCUAGUUGGUAAGGUAACGGCUUACCAAGGCGACGAUCAGUAGCCGACCUGAGAGGGUGAUCGGCCACAUUGGAACUGAGACACGGUCCAAACUCCUACGGGAGGCAGCAGUGGGGAAUAUUGCACAAUGGGCGAAAGCCUGAUGCAGCAACGCCGCGUGAGCGAUGAAGGCCUUCGGGUCGUAAAGCUCUGUCCUCAAGGAAGAUAAUGACGGUACUUGAGGAGGAAGCCCCGGCUAACUACGUGCCAGCAGCCGCGGUAA